GUGGGACUGUAGCUCAGUGGAAGAGCGCCUGCCUCGCACGUGUGAGGCACUGGGUUCUAUCCUCAGCACCACA
rnacentral:tRNA from 1 species